rnacentral:rRNA from 1 species
AUUGAACGCUGGCGGCAGGCCUAACACAUGCAAGUCGAGCGGAUGAAGGGAGCUUGCUCCUGGAUUCAGCGGCGGACGGGUGAGUAAUGCCUAGGAAUCUGCCUGGUAGUGGGGGAUAACGUCCGGAAACGGGCGCUAAUACCGCAUACGUCCUGAGGGAGAAAGUGGGGGAUCUUCGGACCUCACGCUAUCAGAUGAGCCUAGGUCGGAUUAGCUAGUUGGUGGGGUAAAGGCCUACCAAGGCGACGAUCCGUAACUGGUCUGAGAGGAUGAUCAGUCACACUGGAACAGAGACAGGGUCCAGACUCCUACGGGAGGCAGCAGUGGGGAAUAUUGGACAAUGGGCGAAAGCCUGAUCCAGCCAUGUCGCGUGUGUGAAGAAGGUCUUCGGAUUGUAAAGCAAUUUAAGUUGGGAGGAAGGGCAGUAAGUUAAUACCUUGCUGUUUUGACGUUACCAACAGAAUAAGCACCGGCUAACUUCGUG